rnacentral:lncRNA from 1 species
ACUAUUUCCAUUUUCUUUCCCUUUUAGCAAUCUAACAUGAAUACAGCUCCCCUACCUUGUGAAAAUCCACCAAAACCUCCCAAAGUAGAGCAAUCACCAAGUUUCAAAGCAAAACUAUUAGCCUAUGAAUUUACGGGGAUAUUUCCAUGAGGGAUCUUCAUGCUUUUUAGAGCUCCAUUAACGCAACAAAAAGCGUGGAGAAACUCUCCGAUGGUAUCGCAUCUAUUAACCUUUCUCAAGAAGAUAACAAAAGAAUGAUUAUAUGCUCUUUGUAAGUAUUCUCUUAUCAUCAAACUGAUUGGUAAAUGCAUCACCUACCAAUAUCUCUGUAUUAAACUGCAAUAGUUAUGAAAAAUCAUGGAUCAAGUUUCGCUUAUCGAUCUCGAAUCAGACUAUUACAUUCUCAAAUUUACCACUUUGAAAAACAUGAAUUUUGUCUUGAACAAUGGCCCGUGGUUUGUCUAUGGACACUAUCUUUCUAUCCAAAAAUGAGUUCCAAAUUUUAUUUCAGAAAAAGCAAUAUUAUCUUUUUUUGCUAACUGGAUUCGUUUUCCUCACCUCCCCACGGAGUACUAUGAUAGCAUCCUCCUUCAACUAGUAGGGAACUCCAUUGGAAAACUCCUAAAGGUCUGUUAGUUUUAAAUGGAUAAAUCGUAGACAACACGAUGAAGACACUGUCUAUUUUGCAGUACAAAAAAAUAAGCAGCAGAAUAUAUGAAACUAAAAUGAAAAAGAUGGCAGAGAGAUAAACCUCUGGAGUGUGUAUAAAAUUCUGUAGAAGAAGUUACAUAAGUAUCCUAAACAGAACAACUGGUAUAGAUCAUGGCCCUAUUUUAAAGUCAUGGUGCUAACACCAUGGUAACUACCUCCUAAAAUGACCGAAAAGAAAAAUACAGGAAACUAAAACUAGAUACUACAGUCCUAAAGCAACUAACUAAUAAGGUCGACGUGUGUACGAGUUCCACUUUACGUAAAAGAUAUGCUCGUUUAUGUAUCUAGGUGUGCUUCUAUAACCCGGUUCCUAACUGGAUUAUAAUUGGUCAACAGCAGCAAUACAUCAUAUAUGAAGUUGAAGGUGUCACACCCCUUUUUUUCACCAAAAAGAUUACUUUUAAGUUCGAAAAGAGUUUUUAUUAUUAAAAUGACAAAAUAAAGAUUUGUUUAAAAAAAAAGAUUAUUUUUACAUUCAAAUUCAGAGUCGCCACUUAGCAUAAUCGGGUGUGCCAAGUCACCUUUGAAAAUCCCUUUUCAAAAUUCUUUUUGACUCUUUAAAAUUGGUUUACGAACAGAGAUUUCUGUUAGGGAAUUCUGUUGACCGAGGGGAAGGUGUUAGGUACCCCUCAAUCCCGUGGUUUGACCACGGUCGCUUUGUGGAGUAUAUCGACUGGUACGACACUAUGAAUGUCUAAACCACAUAAAAUACACAAAAAAAUCAAUCAAACAAACAAACAAGUUCAAAAAUAUAAUGUCCCGUCCAAAUUAAACAGUCCCAAAAAUAGAAAAAUGCGGAAAAGUAAAUCCUAUUCUAAACUAAUCCUAGACUAAGCUCCAAUGCUUUACCCGAUGCCUCGGGCCUUCAUCACAAACCUCCUUUGCGUACAUGAGAUGUCGGGGCAUUCCUUGGUGAAUAAAUACAAUGUGACCUCAGGACAUUCCCCGGCGAAUGAAUACAUUUGAUGAAAUGUAAUAAAAGUAGAUGCCUCAUUCAACACAGACAUUCACACAUUCAAUGAUAUAGAAUACUAUGAGUUGACUACCCCAAAACCUAAAAUUUGGCUAUCAUGCUUUCGUCCUAAAACAUGAUCCUACUGAGCUCACAAAAUUGAUAUUUAUUUCGCAUUAAACAAAACAAUAAUAAAUCAAAAUUAAUCCAAAUUCACUUUUUCAUCAAGUUUUUGAUUUCCACCCCGAUUUUGUUAUCCAAUUACCAAUUUCAAUUAUCCAAUAAAAUAUUAUUUUCAUCUAUUGUACCAUUCAAGAUCAAUCAUUCAACUCAAACUCAUGUCAAGCAACAAAUCACCCCUAAAUAGAACAAACACAUCAAAAUACCUCCAUAAUCAUAUAAAAUUAAAGGAAUAGAGUUGAAGAUUGGACCUCAAUUUGAUGAUUUAUUUUCAAUUAAAUAUGGAGGAGCCUUUCAGAUUCAGAACCUUGAAUCAAACCUCAACAGUCAACAAACGAGACCGCAACUCGAAGAAAACACAAAACCAAUAAGAAACUUCCAAACGAAACCCAAUUUGCUGAUUUCAAACUAGGCUUAAAUGGCUUGUUGGAAUCAGGGCCGGAUUAUCGUUUCCAUCAUAUCAGAGCUGCGGCGGACCAGACAGUCCAUGAAAUAGGUCUUUCGCUGGAGAAAGACCGCAAAAAAGGGAAUAGCAAUUUUUGGGGUUGUGAAUGACCCAUUUCCGUAAGGGUAUUCCGAUUCUGGAAAAACAAACUUACCAGAAAAUAGUUGAAUCUGCCUAUUUUUUGUCACCCAAACCACUCACCUUUCUCUCUCUUAGUCUAUAUCUUCCUUCGGCUUCUCUGUAUGUGCGUAUGUGCGAUGGCAGUGUGUGUACGAGUUUGUUCGUGGAUGAAUCUGUGAGGAUGAGUGAUUCCCAUUGGAGAUGAGUUUAUGAGUGUGUGUAUUUAUGUGUGUGAAUUGAGUGUGUUUUGUGAAUUCUCGAUGGAGGAUGUUGUAUGAGUGCAUGUGUGUGAUGAAUUGUGAAGGGAAUCUGUGUUGUUGUUAUCUGAGUGAGUCUCGAUGGUGGUGAUAGAGUUUACAUUUUAAUGGUGUGUGUAUAUGUAUAUAAUACGUGUGAAUUCCGUUUAAUGGGAAAGAAAAUUUGCCUUUGAUUGAGGGGCGAGGUAGGGGUAUGUGGGUAAGAGGU